rnacentral:rRNA from 1 species
UACGAAGGGGGCUAGCGUUGCUCGGAAUUACUGGGCGUAAAGCGCACGUAGGCGGUUGUGCAAGACAGAUGUGAAAUCCCCGGGCUCAACCUGGGAACUGCAUUGGUGACUGCAGCGCUGGAGUAUGGCAGAGGGGGGUGGAAUUCCACGUGUAGCAGUGAAAUGCGUAGAGAUGUGGAGGAACACCGAUGGCGAAGGCAGCCCCCUGGGCCAAUACUGACGCCUCAUGCACGAAAGCGUGGGGAGCAAACAGG